rnacentral:rRNA from 1 species
AGCAGCCGCGGUAAUUCCAGCUCCAAUAGCGUAUAUUAAAGUUGUUGCAGUUAAAAAGCUCGUAGUUGAAUUUCGGGAUCAAUACGCCUGUCGUGCCUUCGGUACGUACGGGUGUAAUUGGUUUCUACCUUCUGAGGAUCCUUGAUGUCAUUAAUUUGGUGUCUUGGGGAAUCAGGACUGUUACCUUGAAAAAAUUAGGGUGUUUAAAGCAGGCAUACGCUUGAAUACAUUAGCAUGGAAUAAUGAAAUAGGACGUUCGAUUCUAUUUUGUUGGUUUCUAGGAUCGACGUAAUGAUUAAUAGGGGUAGUUGGGGGCAUUAGUAUUCAAUUGUCAGAGGUGAAAUUCUUGGAUUUAUUGAAGACUAACUACUGCGAAAGCAUUUGCCAAGGAUGUUUUCACUAAUCAAGAACGAAAGUUAGGGGAUCGAAGACGAUCAGAUACCAUCGUAG